GACGAACGCUGGCGGCGUGCUUAACACAUGCAAGUCGAACGGAAAGGCCCUGCUUUCGUGGGGUGCUCGAGUGGCGAAGGGGGGAGUAACACGUGAGUAACCUGCCCUAGACUUUGGGAUAAGUUCAGGAAACUGGGGCUAAGACCGGAUAGGAGAUCCUGCUGCAUGGAGGGGGUGGGAAAGUUUCGGCGGUUGGGGAUGGACUCGCGGCUUAUCAGCUUGUUGGUGGGGUAGGGGCAUACCAAGGCUUUGACGGGUAGCCGGCCUGAGAGGGUGACCGGCCACCUUGGGCCUGCGAUACGGCCCAGACUCCUACGGGAGGCAGCAGUGGGAAACAUUACACAGUGGGCGGACGUCUGAUGCAGAGGCGCCGCGUGCGGGAUGACGGCCUUCUGGUUGUAAACCGCUUUCGCCUAUGACGAAGCGUGAGUGACGGUACUGGGUAAAUAAGCACCGGCUAACUACGUG
rnacentral:rRNA from 1 species